UAGUUUUUAAAUAGAGUUAAAAAAACUCUUUUGGUUUUUGAUAGACACAUAAUAAUUGUUUGCAUUUAUAAGGUACAUAGUGAUAUUUCAGUACAUAUAAUGUAAAGUUAUCAAAUCAGGGUAAUUAGCAUAUCCAUCUUCUCAAACAUUUAUCAAUUCCUUCAUGUUAGGAAGAUUCAGUAUCCUGCUUCUAGCUAUUUGAAACUAUAAAAUAUAUUACUGUUAACUAUAGUAAUCCUACAGUACUAUAGAACACUAGAACUUAGUCCUCAUAUCUAGCCAUAAUUUUACAUCCUGUAAAAAAUCUUUCUAUUCCCUCUUCCCCAUAUACUUCCCAGACUCUAGCAUUGUCUAUUCUACUUUUUACAUCUAUAAAACAACACUGUCAGCUUCCAAAUAUGAGUGAGAACAUGCAGGUUUUAACUUUCUGUGACUAGCUUAUUUCAUAUGACAAAAUAUCCCCCAGGUUUAACUAUGUUACAAACAUGACCAGAUUUUAUUUUUUUCAUGGAUAAUAGUAGUAUUACAUUUUGUAUAUAUAACCAUAUUUUAUAAAAUGUAGUUGUUGGACAUUUGGAUUAAUGCCAUAUCUUAGGAUUGUAAAUAGUGCCACAAUAAAUAUGGGGUGUAGAUGACUCUUUGAUGAGUUUGUGUCGUUUGUAGGGACAUGGAUGAAUCUGGAGAACAUCAUCCUCAGCAAACUGACACAAGAACAGAAAAUGAAACACCGCAUAUUCUCACUCAUAGACUCUGGCUACGUUGCUCAGGCUGGAGUGCAGUGUAACAAUUUCAGCUUAAUGCAACCUCCACCUUGCCAGUUCAAGUGAUUCCCCUGCUCCUCAGCCUCCCAAGUUGAUGGGAAUAUAGGAGCCUACCACCAUGCCUGGCUAAUUUUUGUAUUUUUGAUAUAGACAGUGUUUCAUCAUGUUGGCCAAGCUGGUCUCAUACUCCAGUGUGAUCCUCCCAUCACAGAAUCCCAAAGUGCUGGGAUUACAGGCGUAAG
rnacentral:lncRNA from 13 species